ensembl:lncRNA
UGUGGGGACAUACAUUUUUCAUGGAAAAAAUUCCCAUGUAAAUGGACCUGCACAAUUCAAACCUGUGUUAUUCAAGGGUAGAGAGUAUCUGGCCUGUCUCAUUGAGAAUCAAUGCCCAUGUCCUCUUCGUGGUCUAAUCCUCUUCCCUUCUGGUGCAGCCUGAGGGCCUGGGGCUGCUCCUCUAGGCCAAAUGGGGCCCUUGCUGUUGUCUCCACCUGGAAGUCUCUUCCCCCAGAAAUCCAUAUAGCUGUCUCCCCUGGACCUCAUUUUCGGUCUUUGCUCAAACACAUCCUCCUUAGUUAAGGAGCCUUCCCAAGUUACCACAUUCAAAAUCAUAUCCCUGCCCUUCUUCUAGCAUCAUUUUCUCCCUUUCCUAUUUUACUCUUCUCCACAAAAUUUACCACUUGUUAAAUUAUUUUUAAUUUUCCAGCUCCCUCCAUGAGAAUGUAUAUUCCACAAGGGGAAAAAUUUUGCCUGUCUUGUUGACUGCUUACUCCCAGCCCUGGAACAGUGACUAGUAGAGAGGAGGCAUCAUGGGGUCAAUGAAUAAAGGAAUAUCUCAUUCAUUUAUUUAUUUGGGGGAUGUUGAUAUUGACAAAGGAUGAGCCUCUCCCACCCCUCCUGUGUGCGAACACCUCAAGGAGGAAGGGCGCUAAAAGCCCAAUGGCAAAUAUGAGAAUAACAUUGCAGUCAGGCAUAGUAUAAACAAAUAGUAGAGAGUAGCUGCCGUGGUGGUUAUGCCACUGGAAAAGCUCAGUUAGAGACCAAGAAAGGUCUUUAAGCCAGGUUCAGCUAGGGAAAAAAUUCAGUCAGGCUUUUCCUCUGCUCCCUCUAUUGCCUCCUGUUUUCCUGAGAAAAAAGAGGGCAGGCCUGCUUCUGUUAUCCUGGACUCUGCAUGGCAGCCUACAAAAUAGUUCAAUACCUCACACUAUACUCCCUCUUACAUCAAGAUUGAAGUAAGUUAUCAUAAUACACAAGUACUGAUUUUGGAAUACAAUUGUUUAAACUGCUUGCCAGAGUUUUGUAUCUAAGACUGGCAGCUCUGUGUAGCAAGAAGGUUCUGCAGCAAAGGGACUGACACUGCUCUCCCCUGAUGCUCCGCCAUGUGCUGCCUGGCACAGGAUGUUUUCAACUCACUGGUUUACUUGAAAUUUACAUAAAAUCCUCAUUGGGAAGCGUCUGUUAAAAUCUUAGAAAAAGGCUCAAGUAAAGGGAAGGACCAUCACCAUCGACAAAAAUUAGAAAGUAAGAGGGACCUUGGAAAGCCACUCUGAGCUCUCUACAAACAUGUCCUUGGCCUGGAUGAAAGCACAAUAUAAGGCCCAUAGUGCCACCAAGAUAGGAGGAGGAACGAGGCCAGGAAACACGUGACAUUGACUUUGUAUGCUAGAAUUCCUGGAAGGGAGAUUCUUAGUUCAGUUCAGUCACUCAGUCGUGUCCAACUCUUUGUGAGCCCAUGGACUGCAGCAUGCCAGGC